rnacentral:rRNA from 1 species
UGAGUAACGCGUGAGGAUCUGCCCUUAGGAGGGGAACAACAGUUGGAAACGACUGUUAAUGCCCCAUAUGCCGAGAGGUGAAAAGUUUUAUCGCCUGAGGAUGAACUCGCGUCUGAUUAGCUAGUUGGUGGGGUAAAGGCCCACCAAGGCGACGAUCAGUAGCUGGUCUAAGAGGAUGAUCAGCCACACUGGGACUGAGACACGGCCCAGACUCCUACGGGAGGCAGCAUGGGGGAAUUUUU